UAAGAUGGAAACUGAUAAGUUGACGUAUCUGCUUGUAUUCAGCUUCUCGGCGAUCGGAGUGAAUUGUUUUCGUCCCGCUUUGGGCCGAAGCGAUUUCUGCCGUUUCGCAACCGGUUGGCCUACGAGCAGUGCAUUUGCAAGUGGAGUGCGCCGAGGCGUGCUGGUUAUCGAUUGGAAGCCGGUUAGAGGAUACCCGCCUUACGGCGAGUAAACCCGGGCCGGUGAAAGAUUGUUUGGCUGGCAUUGUUGAUUGAAUGGCUGCGGUCGGCACGGGAUUAGGUUGGUCGGGUGUGGGUGGCGGUCUGCAUGGGCAGGCGCCUGUCUAUUCGGCCCAAUUUGGUUCGGGUCCCUCGGCUUUGACCUCGGUGUAAAAGUCGAUCAUCUAUCCGACCCGUCUUAAACACGGACCAAGGAGUUUAGCGUGUGCGCGAGUCAUUGGGUGUUUAAAACUCAAAGGCGUAAUGAAAGUAAAGGCGUCUUUAAUGUUGACUUAUAUGCGAUCCGGUUGGUUUCGACCCGCGGCGCAGCAUAGCCCCGCUCCGAUUGCUUCAAUGGGGCGGAGGUAGAAAUCGUAUGCCCUAGACCCGAAAGAUGGUGAACUAUGCCUGAGCAGGAUAAGCCAGAGGUAAACCUGGUGGAAGUCCGAAAUCGGUUCUGACGUCAAAUCGAUCGUCUGACUUGGGUAUAGGGGCGAAAGACU
rnacentral:rRNA from 1 species